UCCGUACGGGGAAGGAUGAGAAGCUUCGACUAAGGUUCGAUUCGAGCGAAAGCGAGAAAGCGUUGCCAACGGCAACGACCCGAAGGGCGAAGCGCGCAGCGCUGAGUAAUCCUUCCCCCACCACCA
rnacentral:sRNA from 1 species